GGCAGUACGGCAGCUAUAAUGCAGUCGUGGGGCAGCAGGGUGUAGCAAUACAUCGCUGGCGACCGGCGCACGGGUGCGUAACACGUAUGCAAUCUACCUUUAACUGGGGAAUAGCCCUCCGAAAGGAGGAUUAAUACCGCAUAAUAUCACGAGACGGCAUCGCCUUGUGAUCAAACCUACGGGGGUUAAAGAUGAGCAUGCGUUCGAUUAGCUAGUUGGCGGGGUAACGGCCCACCAAGGCUACGAUCGAUAGGGGGUCUGAGAGGAUGAUCCCCCACACUGGUACUGAGACACGGACCAGACUCCUACGGGAGGCAGCAGUAAGGAAUAUUGGACAAUGGCCGCAAGGCUGAUCCAGCCAUGCCGCGUGCAGGAUGAAGGUGCUAUGCAUUGUAAACUGCUUUUGUUCGGGAAUAAACCCCUCCACGUGUGGAGGGUUGAAUGUACCGAAAGAAUAAGGGUCGGCUAACUUCGUGCCAGCAGCCGCGGUAAGACGAAGGACCCAAGCGUUAUCCGGAUUUAUUGGGUUUAAAGGGUGCGUAGGCGGGUUUUUAAGUCAGUGGUGAAAGCCUACAGCUUAACUGUAGAACUGCCAUUGAUACUGAGAAUCUUGAGUAUGGUUGAGGUGGGCGGAAUGUAUCAUGUAGCGGUGAAAUGCUUAGAUAUGAUACAGAACACCGAUUGCGAAGGCAGCUCACUAAGCCAUAACUGACGCUGAGGCACGAAAGCGUGGGGAGCAAACAGGAUUAGAUACCCUGGUAGUCCACGCCCUAAACGAUGAUCACUCGAUGUUGGCGAUAUACUGUCAGCGUCUGAGCGAAAGCAUUAAGUGAUCCACCUGGGGAGUACGACCGCAAGGUUGAAACUCAAAGGAAUUGACGG
rnacentral:rRNA from 1 species